AUCCAGUGUCCGAGUUAAGUUCACUUACUGCUUGUUCAGUGGGCGAUACCGUGCACCGGCACAGUACAUAUACAGUAAUAACAAAUACAUCCCGCCCCCAAGGACAUACAUCGUAGAUGCACUCUUCUCCGUGAGGAUGGCUGUGGAAUAUUGAUGCAGUAGUGGGGCAAGGAUUUCGAUACGUGCUGGAGCGGUCGCAUUCUGACCGUGCCGAGUCGAGGUUAAGAUCUGCUUCAAGCCGAUGCGGUGGUUGGCGUAUGGGCGAAAAGAUUCAUCCUUGCUCAG
rnacentral:sRNA from 2 species